rnacentral:tRNA from 1 species
GGUUCAAUGGUGGAAUUGGUAGACACGAUUGUCUCAAAAGCAAUUGUCGAAAGACGUAUAGGUUCGAGUCCUAUUUGAAUCA